rnacentral:rRNA from 1 species
AAGCAGUAGGGAAUAUUGGGCAAUGGACGCAAGUCUGACCCAGCCAUGCCGCGUGCAGGAUGAAGGCCUUCUGGGUUGUAAACUGCUUUUAUCUAGGAAGAAAAAGCCCAUGCGUGGGAAACUGACGGUACUAGAUGAAUAAGCACCGGCUAACUCCGUGCCAGCAGCCGCGGUAAUACGGAGGGUGCAAGCGUUGUCCGGAUUUAUUGGGUUUAAAGGGUGCGUAGGCGGCUUAUUAAGUCAGGGGUGAAAGACUAUUGCUUAACAAUGGCAGUGCCUUUGAUACUGAUAGGCUUGAGUACAGUUGAGGCAGAUGGAACGGGUGGUGUAGCGGUGAAAUGCAUAGAUACCAUCCAGAACACCGAUUGCGGAGGCAGUCUGCUAAACUGUAACUGACGCUGAGGCACGAAAGCGUGGGGAUCGCACAGGAUUAGAUACCCUGGUAGUCCACGCCGUAAACGAUGAUGACUCGAUGUUAGGGAUAUACUCUUAGCGUCCAAGCGAAAGCGUUAAGUCAUCCACCUGGGGAGUACGCCCGCAAGGGUGAAACUCAAAGGAAUUG